CUUCCGAGUCAACAGUCAAAAGGGCAACAAGUUGGCAAGUUCCUUUUCCAAAAAAAAAACCAAGUUGGUUGAGACAUGCGUUUGCAUUGCCAUAUGAUGCUCUUUAUAUAUCUCUACUAAGUGCUUUUGAAUAUACAGUACUGAUUUAUUGAUUCACUAUUGAUCUUGGCAGGUUAGGGACUCAGAAGUCAGUACUGGCAGAUUGAAAGUUGUUUUCAUGCCACGUGUUUCUCGAUUAUAUUAGUCAAAGAAGUCAGUACUGGCAGAUUGAAAAGGUAUGGCGAACAAUUCUCAGGCAGAACCUAUCUUUAGGAUUUACCAUUUAAAUAUCAGUAGAGUAGACUGCAAUCUUUUUGCCUGGGUGUUUACCAGUAACAGAGUAACAGACAAAAUGGCACCGUCUUUAUUCUGCACCUCACGAGAACUUUCCAACAUUUGUAGGAGCACUGUGCGCAAAUGUGCUACUCACAGACGGUUGCAUGGUGCUAACCAUAUUAAGUUCCAGUUGUAAAUAAUUUGAUUGUGGCGAACUUUACCAAACUAGCUUAAUUUACUAUGAUGCAAAACCACUUGUUUAUAUGAGUGGUCACUUUCUGUUUCAGUUGUGGUGGUUGGUUUGGCUGCCAAGCUUCACUGAUCUUGGCAAGUUUGAAUUGCCGUCUUGUAGUGAUACUUUAUAGAAUAGAUACACGUCUUUUGCACAUUCUAGAAACAAAGAUACCGACUUCUAAUUUUAAUUUUAUGUGAUGUUGAUACUUGAUACGAGCACAAUUUGUCGCACAUGCCUUAUUGGAUUAUAUCGAGGAAGGUGCCGUGAUGGUACACAAGUUGAUCGCUCCAUUGAGGAAGGUGCCAUGAUGGUACACAAGUUGAUCGCUCCAUCUAGCCACUUGGACUAUAGUAGUAAGUUUCUGGCUUCAACUGCUCAAUGGAUGACGCUCAUGCCACCCUCCAUGGGAUGAUGCACAUUAUAUAUGCACACAUUUGGUGCCUAGCAUUCUUGACUUGUGCCUCAUCAAGCCAACUGCUCCUGAUUCCUGAAGCGGUAAAAAGAGCGAGCUUUGAGAUUGGCAGCAAUGGCGACGAAACCACUAGUUGGCUCUCCGCUCUCGGCCUCUCCUGCUGCUCAAAGCACCCCUGACCCUGGCCUUCCAACUGGUGUUGCUGCUCAAGGCACCCCCACCCCUGGCCCUUCCAGUGGUGGUGGUGGUACCGGUGCUGCUGCUCCAGUCCCCGACGGUGGCCCUAAAAGUGGCAGCGGGAAUCCAAUUGGGUCACCUCCCGUGUUUCACGGAUAAGUUCUUGUUCUGCUUCAGAUCUCCGACCUUGUCUUGUGCAAGUUUCAAACUGUAAUAUGUUUGUUCCCAGUUCGGUCAAGGGUUCGACCGCCCUCUUGUUCGUUAAGCAUGGAGUUUGAAUGUUUGAUAACCACAACCUUGGUUCUUAUAACUGAUGUUGUUUUAAGUAUGGAUAUAUGGCUUGAAUACGCACAUCUGAUCAAUAGUAUCUAUGGGUCUAAAGCAGUGUAAUUCAGAUGCCAUCGAUCUGUGACAUUAUUCAAGUUGUAUGUCGAGGUUAAACAUGAGAUGCGUGUGGCAAGGUCAAACACAGAUAUAUGUUGAGGUGAAAUGAAGACCUAUGUGUUGCAGUGUGGAGUGCAUAUUCUUUCUUUUCCCUUUUCUCUCGGCUUGGGAGCUAUUUACAUGAAGACGGGAGAAGGAGUGGAGUAUUACAACUUUGUGCCGCAUCGCGUGGGUUCUGUGAAAUUGGCAAACCAUACAAUUUUUCUUGAACUGGAACACCUUGCAUUCCAAAAUCACCUGGGAUCGACCAAAUCGGCGAUCACGACAUCGGUUACAUCACUCGGGAGGUUAACCAACCACACAUGUUGGACACCAUAAACACCAC
rnacentral:lncRNA from 1 species